UUUGGGUUGUAACUCAGUGGUUGAGCACUUGCCUAAUAUGCUCCAGGCACUGGGUUCAAUCCCCAGUACUGAAAA
rnacentral:tRNA from 1 species